UACGGGGGGGGCAAGCGUUGUUCGGAAUUACGGGGAGUAAAGAGCUCGUAGGCGGUUUGUCGCGUCUGCUGUGAAAACUCGGGGCUUAACCCUGGGCCUGCAGUGGGUACGGGCAGACUAGAGUGCGGUAGGGGAGACUGGAAUUCCUGGUGUAGCGGUGAAAUGCGCAGAUAUCAGGAGGAACACCGGUGGCGAAGGCGGGUCUCUGGGCCGAUACUGACGCUGAGGAGCGAAAGCGUGGGGAGCGAACAGG
rnacentral:rRNA from 1 species